rnacentral:rRNA from 1 species
UACAGAGGUCUCAAGCGUUGUUCGGAUUCAUUGGGCGUAAAGGGUGCGCAGGCUGCGUGGUAAGUCGGGUGUGAAAUUUAGGGGCUCAACCCCUAAACUGCAUCUGAUACUGCCAUGCUAGAGGACUGUAGAGGAGAUUGGAAUUCACGGUGUAGCAGUGAAAUGCGUAGAUAUCGUGAGGAAGACCGGUGGCGAAGGCG